rnacentral:rRNA from 1 species
CCUACGGGUGGCAGCAGUAGGGAAUCUUCCACAAUGGGCGAAAGCCUGAUGGAGCAACGCCGCGUGGGUGAAGAAGGUCUUCGGAUCGUAAAACCCUGUUGUUAGAGAAGAAAGUGCGUGAGAGUAACUGUUCACGUUUCGAUGGUAUCUAACCAGAAAGCCACGGCUAACUACGUGCCAGCAGCCGCGGUAAUACGUAGGUGGCAAGCGUUAUCCGGAUUUAUUGGGCGUAAAGGGAACGCAGGCGGUCUUUUAAGUCUGAUGGGAAAGCCUUCGGCUUAACCGGAGUAGUGCAUUGGAAACUGGGAGACUUGAGUGCAGAAGCGGAGAGUGGAACUCCAUGUGUAGCGGUGAAAUGCGUAGAUAUAUGGAAGAACACCAGUGGCGAAAGCGAGUCUCUGGUCUGUAACUGACGCUGAGGUUCGAAAGCGUGGGUAGCAAACAGGAUUAGAUACCCCUGUAGUC